UCCACCAAGUUUCGGUCUCUCUCUCUUACUCUUCUUCUUCAAGCAAAUCCCCAAAUUAAAACUUCCAACCCAAAACCCUAAUUGAGAAAUGAAAGGCUGCGCCUCCCUCAUCUUCCCUUCUUCUCUCCGGCGGUUUCACGCUGUCACGACAAAACCCCGGAGCUCCGCCGAUGCGUACACCAUCAUCUUCCGUUUCUCUCUCGGCUCCCACAAGUUCUCACCCUCAUCGCUGCCCAACGUUCUGCCCUGCUCCCGAUAUCAUCGUCGUCGAUGCCUCGUCUCGGCGGAAGUUCCGCCGUCGUGCUUGACUCGGGGCUGCUGUCCGGCGUGAUUCAAGGUGCAUGCUCCGGCAGCGGCUUCGCCGCCUCUCCUCCGCGACUCGCCGUUCUCCGACAGGUAUGCUGGGGACAUUUUAUUUAUCACUUUUUUUUGUUAUUUUCUAAAGUUUAAAUCUUGGAUUUAAGGGGUAAAUUCCGCGAAUGUACGUCAUGGGAGAUGAUAUCCGCCAUUUGUACCCGAAAAAAAAACAUUUCCAGUGAUGGGAAAGAAGCGUGAGUCUCUCACGUCUUUGAUAAACACGCAUGGCGCUCUCGCGUCUUUGAUUAAACACGCGUGACGCUCUCGCGUGUUUGACUUGGAUACAUGUUCCAGUCCAGGAGGCAGAAACUUCACUUCCACCUCGCUCACUCUCUCACUCUCAGCGACGCGUCUCUAGCCGGCGGAAAUUGAAGUGAAUCCGAUAUUUUGAUGCUCUAAUUCCUAUUUUAAGUGGUGUUAGGUUUGAUGGUGUUUGUGAGUUUAUAUUGGGAUGGGAAAAUUAUUCAGCUCCCAGGUUUGGGUGUUGCUUAUGAUCCCCCUUGUGCAAAAUCAUUUAUUAUAUUGAAUGAAAAGAUAUCUUAUUAUCAGCUAGUUUAAUGAUAUGUGAAAAAAUUGGAAUUGAUUUGGAUGCACAUACGAUUGAUUUAACAUGGAGGCCUGUGGUUUUUAGUGGCGUGGUGAAUUAUAUAGCUACACCAGUGGAUGAUAAUUUGUUGGAGUAUAUGUUUGCUGAAAAUCCACGUCAAAUUUAACUUUUUAUUGAAUAUACUCCGGUUACUACUGCGUUGCAAUUUGAACCACCUAUCACUCAUCAUGAUGUUGGAACGUCUAGGAGAGAUGAUUAUCAUAGUUUUGAUGUCGGGACAUCUAGGAGAGAUGAUGAAUAUCAUAGCUUUGAAUUCAACACAUUUGGGAGGGAGGUUGAUGAACAACUAGAUAUACCAAAUGUGACAUGUGAUGGUUAUGAUGGUUCAGAUGGUUCUGGUAAUUGUGAUGGUUCUGAUAAUUGUGAUGGUUCAGAUGGUUCUGAUAAUUGUGAUGGUUCAGGUGGUUCUGAUUGUGAUGGUUCCGAUGGUUCUCAACCAAGUGAUCUUGAUUAUAGUGCAGAAUCAUGUGAAGAUUCUACAGACGACGAGACACUUGAUAUGAUGGUUGAGAAUUAUGUACAACCAUCUGUUCGUGGGGAGCAACCUGUUCCCGACUAUGUGCCUGAAGGGUUACCAUUUUUUCGAUCAUUACCAUGUGAAGGCAGCCGAGGUUACUUGUCAGAAGACCAUGGAGUGGGUGAAGAAGAUAUGUGGUAUUGCGAUGGGGAUAAUCCGAGACAUAUAGAUGUGAGAACAAAUUUGAUAGCAAAUUGCAGUUGAAAACUGCUGUAACAUUAUGGCAUGUGGGAACAGGUCGGAUGUAUGAGGUUAUGGAUAGUAAAUCAAGAAGAUGGCAUGCAGUUUGUAGGGACCCAUUUGGUCCGAAAAGAAAAGGCAAGGACCUUGGGCAACGAUACCCAUGUAAUUGGAAGGUUAAAGCAACGUUUAAGAAACGCGAUGGUAGCUGGUCUAUCAACUCAUGGGUUGAUCGUCAUUGUUGUAUGGGAGAUCACGAUCCAAGUGAACAUGUUAACAAUGUGUUAUAACAAUGUGCUGGUAUCUAUGAGGGAACUCCCAUUUAGAGCUAUCAUUGAUAUUACAUUCUGGCGGACCAUCAACUGGUUUGUUAACUGAACGACUCUAGCCAAACAAUGUCAGACGCCUUUGACACCGUGGGCUUGGAAGUUAUUUCAGAAGAAUGGCCGUCGAGGGAGAUGUCAUCAUGUUAGGACUACAAGCAUAGCACGUGGAACUUAUGAGGUGCUAACCUAUCACAGAGGUCCGGGUAGAGGCCAUAAUAUACAUGUUGUAGAUUAUCGUGAAAAGAGAUGCUCAUGUGGAAAGUGGUAGACCUGGAGAAUGCCUUGCUCUCACGCUGUUGCGGUGCUGAGAGAACGCAGUGAUGACAUCUUUACUCAUGUUGAUUCCCGAUACCAUACAGAUGUUUGGAUUCACCAGUACGCAGCUGCGUUCCGUCCAUUGAGACACCAAGAUUAUUGGUAUGAACCUGAAUGGACGUUGGAAUGUUCACCAGCACGGCUACUUCUUCAUUCACGUGGGCGGUACAACAGAGGCAGGAUACACAACCAAAUGGAUGAGCGCGAAGAAGAUGCGCCAAGAGCUCCUCCUCGAUGCCACCUUUGUGGAGAGACCGACCACAAUAGAAGAAAGUGCACUUUAGGACGUAUUGUGUAGUCAUAUUAUAUUUGAGAAUCGUGUUUGAGGCUUGAAUUUUAUUAUGUUUACGAACAGUAUUUUAGAUUUUCUAACCAUGUUUAAGACUGAAAUGACAUUCUUAAGUAAUAUUGUUACGUAAA